rnacentral:rRNA from 1 species
GACGAACGCUGGCGGCGUGCUUAACACAUGCAAGUCGAGCGGUAAGGCCCUUUCGGGGGUACACGAGCGGCGAACGGGUGAGUAACACGUGGGUGACCUGCCCUCAGCUCUGGGAUAAGCCUGGGAAACUGGGUCUAAUACCGGAUAUGACUCCAUGACGCAUGUCGUGGGGUGGAAAGCCUUGUGCGGCUGGGGAUGGGCCCGCGGCCUAUCAGCUUGUUGGUGGGGUGAUGGCCUACCAAGGCGACGACGGGUAGCCGGCCUGAGAGGCGACCGGCCACACUGGGACUGAGACACGGCCCAGACUCCUACGGGAGGCAGCAGUGGGGAAUCUUGCGCAAUGGGCGAAAGCCUGACGCAGCGACGCCGCGUGAGGGAUGACGGCCUGGU